AAGUCGUAACAAGGUUUUCGUAGGUGAACCUGCGGAAGGAUCAUUACCGAGUUGUGUCUCCCCCGGGAGCCAUCUCCACCCUGUGCGAACUAAAAAUCGUUGCUUUGGCGGGCCGCGGCCCUGCCGCCACCGGCCCCGGCUGGUGAGCGCCCGCCAGAGACCCUUUAAAAUCUUUUUUAACUUGCGUCUGAGCGAGAAAUUAAAUGCGAAAAACUUUCAACAACGGAUCUCUUGGUUCUG
rnacentral:misc_RNA from 1 species